AACCUUAUGGACCUGCGGGCGUAUACCUGCGGAAGGAUCAUUAUUGAAUAAACUUGGUCAAGCUGUUGCUGGUCCUUCGGGGCAUGUGCACGCUUGCCACCAAUUUUAACCACCUGUGCACCUUUUGUAGAUUGGAAACGUUUCUCGAGGCAACUCGGAUUGAGGACUGCUGUGCGCAAGCCAGCUGUUCUUGUGUUUCUCAAUCUAUGUUUUCAUAUACUCCUAAUGUAUGUAUCAGAA
rnacentral:misc_RNA from 1 species